AUUGAACGCUGGCGGCAGGCCUAACACAUGCAAGUCGAGCGGAUGAAGGGAGCUUGCUCCUGGAUUCAGCGGCGGACGGGUGAGUAAUGCCUAGGAAUCUGCCUGGUAGUGGGGGAUAACGUCCGGAAACGGGCGCUAAUACCGCAUACGUCCUGAGGGAGAAAGUGGGGGAUCUUCGGACCUCACGCUCUCAGAUGAGCCUAGGUCGGAUUAGCUAGUUGGUGGGGUAAAGGCCUACCAAGGCGACGAUCCGUAACUGGUCUGAGAGGAUGAUCAGUCACACUGGAACUGAGACACGGUCCAGGCUCCUACGGGAGGCAGCAGUGGGGAAUAUUGGACAAUGGGCGAAAGCCUGAUCCAGCCAUGCCGCGUGUGUGAAGAAGGUCUUCGGAGUGUAAAGCACGUUAAGUGGGGAGGAAGGGCAGUAAGUUAAUACGUUGCUGUUUUGACGGUACCGACAGAAUAAGCACCGGCUAACUUCGUG
rnacentral:rRNA from 1 species